GUAGAUGAAAAGGACUCCUCGAGCAGUAACUCUCAUGGUGGGUGCCACCAAUGCUCCAACUACAGGUGGGUUCAGACUGCGGGCCCCCCUAUUGGGUCGUUUACUAUUUACUCACCAAUCUUGGUGCAGGCGGAGGUAUGUGAUUCUUCCAACUGGGUUGUAAUGAAAGAUACUCUGCAUUCAUCAUUGUUUGUAGUUGGGAGGAGUCCAACAAUUAGCCUGGAGCUCGAGGUGCC
rnacentral:lncRNA from 1 species